rnacentral:rRNA from 1 species
UAGUGCGGCGAGCGAAGCGGGAAGAGCUCAAAUUUGUAAUCUGGCGUGCUCAGUGCGUCCGAGUUGUAAUCUAUAGAAACGUUUUCCGUGCCGGACCGUGUCCAAGUCCCUUGGAACAGGGUAUCAAAGAGGGUGACAAUCCCGUACUUGACACGACGACCGGUGCUCUGUGAUACGUUUUCUACGAGUCGAGUUGUUUGGGAAUGCAGCUCAAAAUGGGUGGUAAAUUCCAUCUAAAGCUAAAUAUAGGCGAGAGACCGAUAGCGAACAAGUACCGUGAGGGAAAGAUGAAAAGCACUUUGGAAAGAGAGUUAAACAGUAUGUGAAAUUGUUGAAAGGGAAACGAUUGAAGUCAGUCAUGUUCAUUGGAUUCAGCUGGUUCUGCCAGUGUAUUUCCUUUGAACGGGUCAACAUCAGUUUGAGCCGGCGGAUAAUGGCAGAGGGAAUGUGGCACCUCCGGGUGUGUUAUAGCCCUUUGUCGCAUACGUCGGCCCAGACUGAGGAAUGCAGCUCGCCUUUAUGGCCGGGGUUCGCCCACGUACGAGCUUUAGGAUGUUGGCAUAAUGGCUUUAAACGACCCGCUA